CUCAGACUGAGAGCUGAGCUGAGAGAGAACAGACACACUCAUGCAGAGGGACAUGUGCCACAUGACUCCUUACAGACUGCUUUGUGUGCUGGUGGCCCUGGCUUUGUCUGGAUGUAAUGUGGCCCAGGAAGUGACUCAAGUCCAGUCAACAGCAAGCAGGCAGGAGGGGGAAGAAGUCACCCUGGACUGUUCAUAUGAGACAAGUUAUGUCGCAUAUUAUCUUUCUUGGUACAAGCAGCAUCUUAGUGGAGAUAUAAUUUUCCUUAUUCACCAAAUUUCUUCUUCUACUGCAGAAGAGAGGAGUGGCCGCUAUUCUCUAGUCUUCCAGAAAUCACUCAAGUCCAUCAGCCUUGUCAUUUCAGCCUCUCAGCCAGAGGAUUCAGGGAAGUAUUUCUGUGCUCUCAGUGAUUUGACACAGUGUUAGAAGUGACAGCACAAGCUGAACAAAAACUGGGGCUCCCUAAACAGAAGCCCUCUGAGGGAGGGAGCCCAGCUGAGACGCACACCUGCACAUCCUGAACAAGAAGAUCUCAACUGUGGAUGCUCUGUCUGUGUCUGCAUCAGAACUGUGUUUCUAAAUAAAACAUCAGACCAUGCAAUUGAGAAAGAAUUAUGGUGAGCAGCUUUCUAUACUACAUUGUCUUAAAACAGAGUUAAAAAUAGACCACUGAGAAUAUGUGUAAUAUUUUCUACACUUGGAAAUCUUGCACCACAAUAAUUUGAAGUUUCUCUUUAAUUUGUUAACAGAACAUUCCUCAGAGGAGGCAUCUGGAAUAGCAAAGAGCAUAAUUUCCUGGAGAAAGUUACACUCAGAAGGAGAUCCAGCAUGAGUGAAGUAAUCAGAGACAGACUAUAAGGAUUUCUCUCCAUGAAAUACUGGUGGUGACUGGGUUACUCCACCAAUCUUUACCUUUGUAUCUAGUACUGAGCCUGAGGUACUGAAGGUCAGCAGUUGGGGAGGACAGGUACAUGAGCAUAGCACCUGGCUGUCCUGAGAUUUGUGAGAAUUCAGUGAGACCCAAAAAGCCAAUGGAAUCUAGAAGGAUAAACCUCCCUCACCUCCUCAGUCUCUCUGGUUUGGGGGAGCAUCAGAAGAAGUCAUGCCAUUUGCCAACAUGAUACACACAGACUCGACCUGAAUAAAGCAAAGCUGUAGAAGUGAGGAGUAGAGAGUUAAUGGUAAAGUGAGCUGGAAUCUAAUGGACAUCAAAUAUUUAUGGGGCCUGAAUCUGCAGGGCUAUAUAAAAAUAAUUAAAUAUAUCACACCUGUUUCUUAAGUCUUCUACAGCUGCCUUUUCCAUGUCCACCCCCAAAACACAGCAACAUGGAGAAGGAAAUUCUGUGAAAUGUGUUUCUAGAUAUGUUUUUAAAGAUUAUUUUUUAGAUCAUGUGUGUAACCUUUUUGUCAGCAUGUAUAUAUGUGUACUGGGUGAAGUCUGGUGCUCAUGGAGGCCAGAAGGGGAUAUUAGAUUCUGGAAAUUGGAGUUAUCGAAGGAAAGGAUUUACCGCGUCGAUGUCAGGCACUGAAUCUAAGUCCUCUGUAAAAGCAGUGAUUGCUUUUAAUUAGGGAGUGUAUGUUCCAGGUCCUGUUUCUAGUUAAUUUGCAUAAACUGUAUAUGAUAAAGGAGAUAAAUAACUUCAAUUCACCAAUUAAAAACCAUAGGCUACCUGGGGGAAUUAACAAAGAAUACUAUCUGUGUCUCCAGGAAACACUUCCCACAGCUAAGAACAUCAAACACUGAAAGUCCAACCAUAGAGAUCAGCAUCGGAAGUAAUUGACAGCUGUAAACAUGGCACUGCACGUCUCAUAUUUGACAAAGGAGACUUCAGGCCACAGCUAGUCAGAGAGCUGAGGAGAGCCACUGCAUAGCCACAGAGGGUAAGUCUUGUGCAUGUGAGUACACGGAGCAUGGCUCCCGGUUCAACAAUAUAAACUCUAAUUGACAGAAAAUGUCACAUGGGUCCCUAAUCAGUAAUGAUCUUAGACUUCAAUGUUUCACUGUGACUUUAGCAAGUCUUCCUAAAUUAAAAACCAACAAAGAAACUUCAUAGCAAGAGAUUCUGCAAGUCCACCUCUCUGAAUUUGGCAAGAGAAUCCCAGGCAGGGAAGGGAAGCCAAUGUGCACUCAGAGAACUCACUGAAUGCAAGCGACAAAAUCUUAGCAGACGCAAAAUUUAUAUUCUUUACUGUAAGAAGCAAAAGCCUGAGAAGUCAACAAGGACACAAAUUUAAAGAACAUUUUAAUGAAUAAAUAAGUGUAAUAUCCUAUGAAUUUGUUUGUAGUUGUCCUUUUUAACGGUUCCUCAGGAGUGGUAUAGCUGGGUCCUCAGGUGGUAGUAUUCCAAAUUUUCUGAGGAACGUCCAGAUUGAUUUCCAGAGUGGUUGUACCAGCUUGAAAUCCCACCAGAAAUGGAGAAGUGUUCCUCUUUCUCUACAUCAUUGCCAGCAUCUGUUGUCACCUGAGAUUUUUAUCUUAGCCAUUUUGACUGGGGUGAGGGAGAAUCUCAGGGUUGUUUUGAUUUGCAUUUCCCUGAUGACUAAGAAUGUUGAACAUUUCUUUGGGUGCCUCUCAGUGAUUCGAUAUCCCAGGAAAUUGGACACAGUACUACCUAAGGACUCAGCUAUACCAUUCCUGGGCAUAUUCCCAAAAGAUGCUCCAACAUAUAACAAGUACAGAUGUUUCACUAUGUUCAUAACAGCCUUACGUAUAAUAGCCAGAAGCUGGAAGCAACCCAGAUGCCCCUCAACAGAGGAAUGGAUACAGACAAUGUGGUACAUUUACACAAUGGAGUAUUACUCAGCUAUUAAAAACAAUGACCAUGAAAUUCAUAUGCAAAUGGAUGGAACUAGAAAAUGUCCUGAGUGAGGUAACCCAAUCACACACAAAAAAAGAAAGACACACACACACACACACACACACACACACACACACACACACACACACACACACGGUAUACACUUACUGGUAAGUAGAUAUUAGCCCCAAAGUUUGAAUUACCCAAAAUGCAAUGCACAGAACACAUGAAGUUCAAGAAGAAGGAUGACCAAAGUGCGGAUACUUCUAUCCUUAGGGGGAACAAACAUAUUCAUAGGAAGAGAUACGGAGGCAAAGUUUGGAGCAAAGGCUGAAGGAAAGGCCAUCCAGACACUGUCCCACCUGGGGAUCCAGUCCAUGUCCAUACAGCCACCAAACCCACACAAUAUUGCUGAUGCCAAGAAGUGCAUGCUGACAGUAGCCUGAUAUAGCUGUCCCCUGAGAGUCUCUGUGAAAGCAUGACAAGUACAGAGGCGAAUGCUCACAGUCAAUCAUUGAACUGAGAAUGGGGUCCCCAUUAGAGGAGUUAGAAAAAAGGAUUGAAGGAGCUGAAGGGGCUUGCAACCCCAGAACAACAAUACCAACCAACCAGAGCCCCCAGGGACUAAAUCACCAUCCAAAGAGUACACAUGGACAGACCCAUGUCUCCUCUGCAAAUUCAGAGGAUGGCCUUGUUGGGCACCAAAGGUAGGAGCCCUUGGUCCUGGCAAGGCUAGACCCCCCCAGUGUAGGGGAUUAUCAGAACAGGGAGGGGAGGUGGGAAGUGUUGGGUGGUUGGGUGGGAGAAAGGAGAUAACAUUUGAAAUGUAAAUAAAAAAUAUCCAAAAAAUUAUCACACAGUGUUUGUUCUGACAAAGAAAAAAUGUUUUUGACCAAAUCUACCACCAGAGGUCUAACUGAAGUAUUUGAUAUUUGAGCUGAGCUCCUGGCUGACCUCUAGUGCUCAUGAAUUAAAUUGGAAGAACACCUAGUGGUAGCUAUCAUUGCUGAUUUGAAGUUAGAAUUUUGUGACAAUCAUGGCAGUGAAGGAUCCAGGAAGAAGGUUAUAUUUUAUCUACAGCUGUCAGAUACAAUGGUGAUUCAUGUAGCAGUGCCAAGUAUGCUUCAUCUACGUUCUGCACUGGUUAGCAGAAGACUACUUAAGGUACGGGGCUUGCCUUGUUGUCCAGGAUGGGGCAUUUUUCUUUGCUAAGUGAAAUUCAUGCCUAUAUGUUGACCUUCUUUGUACUACAGAAAUAUCCUGAGAUCUAGGAACAAGGCACUGAUGGAGAAGAAGCUGCUGUAGGUAGUGUAUCCUAGUGAGCUCUUGUUGCCUUCUAUCGUGCAUCUACCCUUCCAACUUAAUGAACAGUUUCCCCAUUGGCGGUAGGACAGGAGACUGAUCACAGAUAUCUGUGAGAAGCCAUGAAAGCUGUCAUUAGGAUGCACUGUCAAACAGACCUCAGAAGACUCUAUGAGUUUGUCUUAUGAGAGACACUGGAACUUCAGAGCAUGCCUGUUAGUCUGUAUGGAGUGCAUGAUAAGCAAAUCCAGUUAAGCUUUUGAAGUAGGGGUGCUUCUGUGCUGUGUGGUUUCCAUGUGCUUUCUUGUUUAGUACUUAGCAGACAUGCCAAAGUUGUUGAAUCUUCUGUCCUGGGACAGCAUAGCAAUGUUCAGAAUAGG
rnacentral:lncRNA from 1 species